GCGAACGCUGGCGGCAGGCCUAACACAUGCAAGUCGAGCGCCCAGCAAUGGGAGCGGCAGACGGGAGAGUAACACGUGGGAACAUGCCCUUCAGUACGGAACAACCAAGGGAAACUUUGGCUAAUGCCGUAUACGCCCGUAAGGGGAAAGAUUUAUCGCUGAAGGAUUGGCCCGCGUCUGAUUAGCUAGUUGGUGGGGUAAUGGCCCACCAAGGCGACGAUCAGUAGCUGGUCUGAGAGGAUGAUCAGCCUCACUGGGACUGAGACACGGCCCAGACUCCUACGGGAGGCAGCAGUGGGGAAUAUUGGACAAUGGGCGCAAGCCUGAUCCAGCCAUGCCGCGUGGAUGAUGAAGGCCUUAGGGUUGUAAAGUCCUUUUAACGGGGAAGAUAAUGACGGUACCCGUAGAAUAAGCCCCGGCUAACUUCGU
rnacentral:rRNA from 1 species